AAUCAACGCUGGCGGCGUGCCUAACACAUGCAAGUCGAACGCGAAAGCCCGCAAGGGUGAGUAGAGUGGCGCACGGGUGAGUAACACGUGGACAACCUGCCUUCGAGUGGGGAAUAACCUUCCGAAAGGAGGGCUAAUACCGCAUAACACCUCGGGACACAAGUUCUGGGGUUGAAAAGAGCAAUUUGCUCGAAGAGGGGUCCGCGCCUGAUUAGCUAGUUGGUGAGGUAACGGCUCACCAAGGCUUCGAUCAGUAGCCGUCCUGAGAGGGAGCACGGCCACACUGGAACUGAGACACGGUCCAGACUCCUACGGGAGGUAGCAGUGGGGAAUUUUUGGCAAUGGGCGAAAGCCUGACCAAGCAACGCCGCGUGGGUGAUGAAGUAUCUUGGUACGUAAAACCCUUUCGGCAGGGACGAACCUAAUGACGGUACCUGCGGAAGAAGCCCCGGCUAACUCCGUGCCAGCCGCCGCAGU
rnacentral:rRNA from 1 species